AGCUGAAGCAUGGAGAGUUGAGUGGGAGGUGGAAGUGCUUUGAGCUGAUAAAACAAAUACUUUGUUCUAGCAGCUUCAAGGACAGACCUUGGUUUGACAGAGAUAAUUAAUGAAAUUCAUAAAUACUGCAAUGGCUGGAGAUAAUUUUCCCUAAAAUGUUUAUAAAUUAAAGAAUUAGUGACUACUUUAAAUUAUAUAACCAAAUUAACAGGGGAGGGGGACAGAGAAACCAGAAACUUGUAAUUAAAGGUUGUAGCAACACAGAUUGAUUAUAUAGUGUGUAGAAUUGAGAAGUUACACAAUUACAUUGAUAAAUAGGAUGGGCAAAGCAACAAGAGACAAUAACAGUUGACAAUGACUUCAGAAAGACUCUAAGCUUUAAAAAUCUAGAUGGCAAGUUAACUAAAUUGGAUGACUGGUUGAAUAAAAUGGAAAAUGUUAUUUCAGGUAUGAAAAAAGAAAUAAUACAAAUGAAGAAGAUGUAAGAAAUAUAGCAGAAAUGGCAUCAGACAUAAAGAAAAUUACAAAUAAUAAAGCAGAGGUGAUAAACAAACUAGAAAUGCUAGAAAAGGACACUGAGAAGAUGGCAGAUCAACUGGCAAUUUUAGAAUUGUGUCAGAAAGAACAUAUAUUUUAUUUUUGUGGAGUAAAGGGGAAGGCAAUAACACCAGAGAAAAGAUGGUGGCAAUUCUAGCAGAGUACAUGGAAUUGGAUGAAGAUAUAUUGAAUUUAGAGGUGGACAGAGCAUUCUCCUGGAGGCGUAAGGCAUCUCUAUGGGUUGUUCCUUUCCCUUGCUUAGGAGGCAGGGCUUUACUGGUUUUUUCUUCCACUUCCUCUUCACUCGCUCACUCCCCCCCUUCAACUGCCAGUAACGUUCCUGCCUCUUGAUAGGAGAGCACAACUUCUUCUUUGCUCCCUGUGUGAAUGGUGUGUGAGUGACUGGUUGUUUGUGUGUUGCCCACUCCUCGUGUGGUUUUGCUUCCCCCGUGUGUGUGUCGAUGUAGAAAGGGGCGUUGCUUCUCGCUGGGCAGCGCGCUGAGGCGAUUGUGAGGAGAAAGAGUUGUGGGCGCCAUUUUAACGUUAAGGUGCUGCCAGGAGAAAGGGGCGUUUGGCGCGAUCCGCGGAAUGGCCACCAGAGAGUUU